CUCUUUAAAAACUUUACUUGUUUAGAAGUUAUUACGAAUCAAACAGGAGUACUUUUUUUUGGGCCACCCGGUACACUCAGAGUAACAUCACAAACAUCAUAUUCGCCUGAGUACAUAACACCAAUACAGAAAAAUCACAAUUAUUAAUAGGAUUCAUGAACAAAUACGAAAUACUAGGCUUAAUUACUAGCCACUUCCCUCUAUUGACGAUCGAAGCAAUCUUUAGGAAACAAAACUACGGAAGCCGUGAAGGGACUUCAGACACUGAGAACAAAGAUCAGUAACAGAAGGGUCACUCAGCGGUGCAACGUGUCGGCCAACAUGCGUAAUGGCAACAUGCGCGAGGACAGAAGCUUCAAAGCUUAAGCCUGCCGCACACGAGAGCUAUCUGCUGAGCAAAAAGUUACUCGUGCCUGUUAGCUCAGCUGAUAGCUCACCGAUCAAACAUGUUUGAUACGUGAGAAAAGGUUGCAUGAGGCAAAAAACUCAGUAGAAUGUACCCGCACACGGUGAGCUAUCGGCUGAGCUAACAGGCACGAGUAACUUUUUGCUCAGCAGAUAGCUCUCGCGUGCGGCAGGCUUUAAUUUAAUUUAAUUUAAUUUCAAGCUAUGAUAAUAACAUGCACUAGCUGAAAAGAAAUUGAACAAGUCAAUGCAUGCUAACGACUUUAUAAGCAUAGCUCGAGCAGUUGCCAUGUAGCUAGCUGUGCUGAAAUUUUCAUUAACACUAACAGCAAGAUAUUGGAGACGCUAAACUACGAACACAGUUAAUUACACUUCAAGCAUAAAGAUCUAAAUGUUCGCGGGUUUUAUGGAUUAUAAGUAAUGUCACCCAAGGUAAAAUAAAGCUUCCAACGCAAGGCCUUUCUGUAUGGAUCUUUAUUAUAUACGUUUCAGACUUCAGACUUCGGACUUCAGACUUCGGACUUCAGACUUCGGACUUCAGACUUCGGACUUCAGAUUUUGGACUUCAGACUUCAAACAUUGGUUCCGAAGCUCGGAACUAAUACCCAACAUUGUUUUUGCGUUCCUCUCAGAAUCACUUUGUUUCAUUUAUUCUCUAGCUUAUACAGUUGGCUACCUUUUUAAAUGCAUCUGCCGGUUGAGAAACAUAAAAUAAUAGUUAAAAAUUGUCAAUUAAAAUACAAUUAAGUUCUUUGUAUGUUUGCAUGGUGAUAAAAUAUAAUAGUUUUGUAAAAAAAAGGAAAGAAAGAAAGAAAAAAAGAAAGAAAAAAAUAAAAUAAAAUACAAUUAUCAAUGAUGCUUUAAAAUUGACGGCAUAUAAGCAAAAGCCAUAUAAGCAAAACUUACUGAACUUCAGACAUCAUUUUCUCUUUGGCGUAUCAUCUAAAAUCUCUUCAAUUUAGCAUUAUUUUACAGAUAAAGCACUAAACAUACUUUUGAAGUUUGUUUGCCGAUUGAGAAACGUACUGAGAAACGUAAUUUUGAAUUUACUGAGUCAUAACCUCAUGCAAGGUAUAUUGAGCGCGUGUUACGUAACAUACUUAUAACUUGAUAAAUUUACAGAAUAAAGUUAAUAAAUUUUCUGCAGUAAUAAAUUUACGUGGUGUUUCCACAAACAAUAGUAUUAUAUAUGUUUUAUCGUCCUGCGUUUAAACCUACAAAGAACUCACUGACACAUUCCAACAGUCUGCAUUUACAGUCUAAAUCAUUCUGACCAUUUUUGACUUUAGUUUGAAUAGGUUUGACUGAAUAAGUGCCUUAAAUAUUAACCAGCUUCGCAGAAGCAAUGUUGGCUAUUAACGAAGCUCAGAGAACCAAUGUUUGAAGUCUGAAGUCUGAAGUCCGAAGUCCGAAGUCUGAAGUCUGAAGUCCCUUCACGGCUUCCGUACAAAACAGUAUAAAAUAUAAAAAUAUAAAGCUUUGUACUUUUUGCCAGUACUAGAAACCAUGGAUUUUAUUAUCCAUGUAGAAACCAAGUUAACUAACGGCGGUGUAGCCUGCGUGGCAGGCCCUCAAUCAGGGUUGGUAGGCUUUCGCGCAUGCACAAAGCCAAAUGACCUUUAAAAAAGGCCAAAUUCUACUAAAUAAGGCCAAAUUUCAUUUUUUUUGAAAAAACCCAAAAAAGAGCCAAAUCUAAUCACAGUAAUUGGCCUGAAGCUGUUGUGAUUUCCUGUCACAUUUGUAAUGUUAUAUAUGUAAUUAUUGUUAUUUGUCAUGGGGCUUUGGUGGCGAAGUGGUUAGCGCACUUGCCUUUCACCUCUAAGGCCGCAAGUUCGAAUCUCAGUGACAACUUCUCAAUGUGACUCGAACCCAGUCCUCGUGUGAAAAGAGUAAAAGUCAACGCUCUGCCGCAAGUCGUGGGUUUUCUCCGGGUACUCUGUGUUUCCUCCCACAGGGAAAGUUGACAGGGUGGGUUAGGCACAUAGAUCUCGAGGCAGAUCAUUAAUGAGGUAUGGAUUAAUAGCGGCUGCUCAAGCGCCAUUUGUAAGCUCAAAGUCUACCUCGGUCUGCUUCACGUCAGUCCGGUUCUAUCUAUCUAGCUAUUCAUAAUGUAACCAGUCACUGAAAAGCCCUGAUAGGGAUUGUGCUGUGAAAUAUCUGUAUCUGUAUGUAUUCUUGUUGUGAUAAAGCGGUAAAAUUAAAAAUUAAAAUUAUCAAUAUUUUCGACUUACAUUGGUCAGGUAUCUCUAGGGUUAUGUUGAUAACUUGAUAGAUACACAAGACCAUCAUGGCGGUCGUUGUUGAUCCUUGUGAAAUACUCAACGUUUGUGCGAACGAAACUAACAACAAAACCUACGAGAAUUUGUUAAAGUAUAAAGAAUACUUCCAAGUGCAACCUGACAAGAAAAUUAAAUGGCUAGGAAAUUUUGACGAACUGAAAUGUUUGAUAUUUGAUUUGUUUGGUGCCGAUGGGAAAUGGAGUUCGCCGAGAGGCUCAGCAAAGGCAUUUCGAAACGAUAAAAUAACUAUUACAUAUUACAUAUUACAC